rnacentral:rRNA from 1 species
UACGUAGGGGGCAAGCGUUGUCCGGAUUUAUUGGGCGUAAAGAGCGUGUAGGCGGUUUGGUAGGUCCGCUGUGAAAACUCGAGCUCAACCUCGAGACGCCGGUGGAAACCAUCAGACUAGAGUCCGGAAGAGGAGAGUGGAAUUCCUGGUGUAGCGGUGAAAUGCGCAGAUAUCAGGAAGAACACCCGUGGCUAGGGCGGCUCUCUAGUACGGUACUGACGCUGAGACGCGAAAGCGUGGGGGAGCGAACAGG